GCCUGGGUACACAGAACGGGUACUCUUCAGCUCGUGCCCUAUUAGAGGCCACGUAAACACGGGUUUACAGGUCCUCAGCCCGUGUCGGCGGUUCGAUUCCGUCCCUGGGCACCA
rnacentral:tRNA from 1 species